rnacentral:rRNA from 1 species
AAUACCCAUAAUAUAUUGAUAGCAUCUUAUUAAUAUUAAAGCUUCGGCACUUGAUGAUGGGUGUGCGGCUGAUUAGAUAGUUGGCGGGUAACGGCCCACCAAGUCUACGAUCAGUAGCUGAUGUGAGAGCAUGAUCAGCCACACGGGCACUGAGACACGGGCCCGACUCCUACGGGAGGCAGCAGUAAGGAUAUUGGACAAUGGACGAAAGUCUGAUCCAGCCAUGCCGCGUGAAGGAUUAAGGUCCUCUGGAUUGUAAACUUCUUUUAUAUGGGACGAAAAAAGGGCAUUCUUGUUCACUUGACGGUACCAUAUGAAUAAGCACCGGCUAACUCCGUG